GGAGGGGUGGCCGAGUGGUUGAAGGCGCACGCCUGGAACGCGUGUAGGCGGGCAACCGUCUCGUGGGUUCGAAUCCCACCCCCUCCGCCA
rnacentral:tRNA from 2 species